rnacentral:rRNA from 1 species
CCAAACUGCAGUCGAGCGACAGACGAGGAGCUUGCUCCUCUGACGUUAGCGGCGGACGGGUGAGUAACACGUGGAUAACCUACCUAUAAGACUGGGAUAACUUCGGGAAACCGGAGCUAAUACCGGAUAAUAUAUUGAACCGCAUGGUUCAAUAGUGAAAGACGGUUUUGCUGUCACUUAUAGAUGGAUCCGCGCCGCAUUAGCUAGUUGGUAAGGUAACGGCUUACCAAGGCAACGAUGCGUAGCCGACCUGAGAGGGUGAUCGGCCACACUGGAACUGAGACACGGUCCAGACUCCUACGGGAGGCAGCAGUAGGGAAUCUUCCGCAAUGGGCGAAAGCCUGACGGAGCAACGCCGCGUGAGUGAUGAAGGUCUUCGGAUCGUAAAACUCUGUUAUUAGGGAAGAACAAAUGUGUAAGUAACUAUGCACGUCUUGACGGUACCUAAUCAGAAAGCCACGGCUAACUACGUGCCAGCAGCCGCGGUAAUACGUAGGUGGCAAGCGUUAUCCGGAAUUAUUGGGCGUAAAGCGCGCGUAGGCGGUUUUUUAAGUCUGAUGUGAAAGCCCACGGCUCAACCGUGGAGGGUCAUUGGAAACUGGAAAACUUGAGUGCAGAAGAGGAAAGUGGAAUUCCAUGUGUAGCGGUGAAAUGCGCAGAGAUAUGGAGGAACACCAGUGGCGAAGGCGACUUUCUGGUCUGUAACUGACGCUGAUGUGCGAAAGCGUGGGGAUCAAACAGGAUUAGAUACCCUGGUAGUCCACGCCGUAAACGAUGAGUGCUAAGUGUUAGGGGGUUUCCGCCCCUUAGUGCUGCAGCUAACGCAUUAAGCACUCCGCCUGGGGAGUACGACCGCAAGGUUGAAACUCAAAGGAAUUGACGGGGACCCGCACAAGCGGUGGAGCAUGUGGUUUAUUUCGAAGCAACGCGGAAGAACUUUACCAAAUCUUGACAUCCUCUGACCCCUCUAGAGAUAGAGUUUUCCCCUUCGGGGGGCAGAGUGACAGGUGGUGCAUGGUUGUCGUCAGCUCGUGUCGUGAGAUGUUGGGUUAAGUCCCGCAACGAGCGCAACCCUUAAGCUUAGUUGCCAUCAUUAAGUUGGGCACUCUAAGUUGACUGCCGGUGACAAACCGGAGGAAGGUGGGGAUGACGUCAAAUCAUCAUGCCCCUUAUGAUUUGGGCUACACACGUGCUACAAUGGACAAUACAAAGGGUAGCGAAACCGCGAGGUCAAGCAAAUCCCAUAAAGUUGUUCUCAGUUCGGAUUGUAGUCUGCAACUCGACUAUAUGAAGCUGGAAUCGCUAGUAAUCGUAGAUCA